UACGUAGGUGGCAAGCGUUGUCCGGAAUUACUGGGUGUAAAGGGAGCGUAGGCGGGGCCGCAAGCCUCAUGUGAAAUCGACCGGCUCAACCGGUUGCUGCGUGAGGAACUGCGGUUCUUGAGUGGAGUAGAGGCAGGCGGAAUUCCUAGUGUAGCGGUGAAAUGCGUAGAUAUUAGGAGGAACACCAGUGGCGAAGGCGGCCUGCUGGGCUCUAACUGACGCUGAGGCUCGAAAGCGUGGGUAGCAAA
rnacentral:rRNA from 1 species